CCUUCAAUGCCACCAGUUUUGUGAUUCCUUCUCUGGAAUGUAAGUGAAAGGAAACGUGCUGACACUCACCUUGCAAUCAUCACAUCAUGAACCUGUUAAUUUAAGUGUCUCUGUUGUUAUGGUUUCAGGUGGGUGUGGCUAAUAUCUGACCAUGGUGAAAUCGUGUGCUGCCAUCUCCUGCACCAAUCGAUUUGUAAUAUUUCCUUUCAUAAGUUUCCCAAGCAGUCCAAGGACAGCACACUGAGAAAGCAAUGGAUACAGGCCAUCAGUAGAGAAGCGGUGGGGACCAAGAGGAGAUGAUCAUAAUUAUGUAUGCAGCAACCAUUUCAGAGAGGAGGACUUCAUCCUCUCAAAACAUGCGCAACACAAGCUUCUCAGGCCAGGGGCUGUACCAUCCCUCAAUUUGGGGAAACCAGAGAAAAAGAUGGCAGUGAGGACAACCCAAACCAGCCAGGCAGCAGUGGCAUUAUACCAGCACAUGGACAUGGAGCCUGAACAAGAGUCUGAAGAGGGCAGUGCUGCUGUUAGUGAACACCAUGCAUACUGUACAGACAGCGACAACCUGAAGAGGAAAUAUGACGAUCUAAUUGUACAGCUUGAAAAGCUGAGGCAGGACUUCAACAAUGCCAAACGUAGAGAGAAGCGCUGCAGAGUGACGUUGGAGGCCAUGUUAGCUAAAACAAAGGAAAUACAAGCUCUGUCUGAUGAUGCUCAUUCCAUGCUUGCUGCAUAUAAAGGUAUUCCUUGUUUAGAAGUACAUAUGAGUGACAUGCAGCAUAUUUAAAUAUAAUUAUGUAACUGCACAUUGCUCACCCACACAGUGCACUAGAACUGAGAUCAAUGUUUGUUAAUGCAACAUUAUAUAAACAAUUUUGCGGCUGUGAUACCCAACAUUCAUGUGGAAACUAUCUAAGCUAUUAACUAUGUUUGAUCACACUUAAUUUUCAAUUACAGGUAAAUUGAUGUUGAUAGACCCUGUUUCUUUACCAGAAUAAUGUCAUUUGUUUGUAACUCCACAACACCUGAAAUUGGGACAUAUAUACAACACGCAUUUAGGUUGAAUAUUUAUGAAAAUUGCAAAUUAAACUCAAAGGGUUGACUGAACUUUGAUGGUUCCUCAUGAAGCAUGAUGUCCUGUAUAAAUGCUGUCUACAUACUGCAAUCUGCCUGAAAGUUUAUGUGAUUGAUCACAGUCCUGCUGUGAUGACAUCCAUAUGCCAAUGUGCACUCAGUCAUAGCGUCACCUGCUGCAGAGGAAGUUACAAGUUUUACACUUUAAUGUUGUACUAUACUUUUAAUAAAUUUAUCUGCACUUUUUUCAUUUACUUUAAAUUAACUUCUUUUCUAUUGGUUGUUGCAAUUAGUGUCUGACAUGCUUUUAUUUUUUUCCAUUUCUUGUCUUCUUUUGGCUGUUUUACUCAAUCAGUUUUAAUUAUUCUAGAAAUGAGUGUCCAUUGUAUUCAAUGAACCUUUUCUGAUUAAAGUGACUUCAUUUUUUAUUACACUACUUUAUUUUUUACAUUUUACUCUGAAAAACCUCUGUGUAUGUUAAGGUACUACAUAAAUAAUGUUGCUUGAUUUCUUGCUCAAGAACUUUUUUGCAAGCUGUUCUUGUUGACGUGUUUGUGGAACUUUCAUGAAAGUUCUUUGACAUUUCAGGUCUCAGUCAUCUGCUUCACAUUUAACAGAACAAAAGCAAAUUAAACUUUUCAUAGGAUCUUAA